UCGAACGAUGAAGCCCAGCUUGCUGGGUGGAUUAGUGGCGAACGGGUGAGUAACACGUGAGUAACCUGCCCUUGACUCUGGGAUAAGCGCUGGAAACGGCGUCUAAUACCGGAUAUGACAACCGACGGCAUCGUCUGGUUGUGGAAAGAAUUUUGGUCAAGGAUGGACUCGCGGCCUAUCAGCUUGUUGGUGAGGUAAUGGCUCACCAAGGCGACGACGGGUAGCCGGCCUGAGAGGGUGACCGGCCACACUGGGACUGAGACACGGCCCASACUCCUACGGGAGGCAGCAGUGGGGAAUAUUGCACAAUGGGCGAAAGCCUGAUGCAGCAACGCCGCGUGAGGGACGACGGCCUUCGGGUUGUAAACCUCUUUUAGCAGGGAAGAAGCGAAAGUGACGGUACCUGCAGAAAAAGCACCGGCUAACUACGUGCCAGCAGCCGCGGUAAUACGUAGGGUGCAAGCGUUGUCCGGAAUUAUUGGGCGUAAAGAGCUCGUAGGCGGUUUGUCGCGUCUGCUGUGAAAUCCCGAGGCUCAACCUCGGGUCUGCAGUGGGUACGGGCAGACUAGAGUGCGGUAGGGGAGAUUGGAAUUCCUGGUGUAGCGGUGGAAUGCGCAGAUAUCAGGAGGAACACCGAUGGCGAAGGCAGAUCUCUGGGCCGUAACUGACGCUGAGGAGCGAAAGGGUGGGGAGCAAACAGGCUUAGAUACC
rnacentral:rRNA from 1 species